CUCGGGCCAACCUGGUGUGCUGGGAAGUCCAGGUGAAGUGGGAUAUCCAGGAACAAGGGGCCUCAAAGGGCCAAAGGGGCCGGCAUCCUUGCAACCAUGUGAACUCCUGUCAUACAUUCGUAAUCAUUGCCGUA